GCAAGUCGAACGGUAACAUUUCUAGCUUGCUAGAAGAUGACGAGUGGCGGACGGGUGAGUAAUACUUAGGGAUCUGCCCUUUGGCGGGGGAUAACCAUUGGAAACGAUGGCUAAUACCGCAUACGACCUACGGGUGAAAGGGGGCUACUUGUAGCUCUCGCCAAAGGAGGAACCUAAGCGAGAUUAGCUAGUUGGUGAGGUAAAGGCUCACCAAGGCGACGAUCUCUAGCUGUUCUGAGAGGAAGAUC
rnacentral:rRNA from 1 species